UACAGAGGGUGCGAGCGUUGUCCGGAAUCACUGGGCGUAAAGGGCGCGCAGGCGGCUUGAUAAGCGUGCGGUGAAAGCCCGGGGCUCAACCCCGGGUCGGCCGUGCGAACUGUCGAGCUGGAGCACUGUAGAGGCAGGUGGAAUUCCGGGUGUAGCGGUGGAAUGCGUAGAGAUCCGGAAGAACACCGGUGGCGAAGGCGGCCUGCUGGGCAGUGGCUGACGCUGAGGCGCGACAGCGUGGGGAGCAAACAGG
rnacentral:rRNA from 1 species